AGUUUACAAUUGUUAUUAAGUAAC
rnacentral:siRNA from 1 species